GCCGGGAUGGCGGAAUUGGUAGACGCGCCGGACUCAAAAUCCGGUGCCCCUUGGGGCGUAUGGGUUCGAGUCCCAUUCCCGGUA
rnacentral:tRNA from 1 species